rnacentral:sRNA from 1 species
AGCGUUCGCCUUCAGCCACCAUGGGGAAUGGGAUGAACAAGAUCCUGCCUGGCCUGUACAUCGGCAACUUCAAAGAUGCCAGAGAUGCGGAACAAUUGAGCAAGAACAAGGACAAGACAUUUCAAAGAAAGUAUUAAAUUCAUUCACGAGUGCCGGCUCCGUGGUGAGAGCUGCCUUGUACACUGCCUGGCCGGGGUCUCCAGGAGCGUGACGCUGGUGAUCGCGUACAUCAUGACCGUGACCGACUUUGGCUGGGAGGAUGCCCUGCACACCGUGCGUGCUGGGAGAUCCUGUGCCAACCCCAACGUGGGCUUCCAGAGACAGCUCCAGGAGUUUGAGAAGCAUGAGGUCC